rnacentral:rRNA from 1 species
GAUGAACGCUGGCGGCGUGCCUAAUACAUGCAAGUCGAGCGAAUGAAGAGGAGCUUGCUCCUCUGAUUUAGCGGCGGACGGGUGAGUAACACGUGGGUAAUCUGCCUGUAAGACGGGGAUAACUCCGGGAAACCGGGGCUAAUACCGGAUAAUAAAAAGAAACGCAUGUUUCUUUUUUGAAAGUUGGUUUCGGCUAACACUUACAGAUGAGCCCGCGGCGCAUUAGCUAGUUGGUGAGGUAACGGCUCACCAAGGCGACGAUGCGUAGCCGACCUGAGGGGGUGAUCGGCCACACUGGGACUGAGACACGGCCCAGACUCCUACGGGAGGCAGCAGUAGGGAAUCUUCGGCAAUGGGCGAAAGCCUGACCGAGCAACGCCGCGUGAGCGAUGAAGGCCUUCGGGUCGUAAAGCUCUGUUGUUAGGGAAGAACACGUACGAGAGUAACUGCUCGUACCUUGACGGUACCUAACCAGAAAGCCACGGCUAACUACGUGCCAGCAGCCGCGGUAA